rnacentral:lncRNA from 1 species
AUUAGGCGGUCAAGAAGCAGAUCGAGACGGCGGUCACAUUCUAAGUCUAGGAGUCGGCGACGAUCCAAAAGCCCAAGGCGGAGAAGAUCUCAUUCCAGAGAAAGAGGUAGAAGGUCAAGGAGCACAUCAAAAACAAGAGACAAAAAGAAAGAAGACAAAGAAAAGAAACGUUCUAAAACACCACCAAAAAGUUACAGCACAGCCAGACGUUCUAGAAGUGCAAGCAGAGAGAGACGACGACGAAGAAGCAGGAGUGGCACAAGAUCUCCUAAAAAGCCUCGGUCUCCUAAAAGAAAAUUGUCCCGCUCACCAUCCCCUAGGAGACAUAAAAAGGAGAAGAAGAAAGAUAAAGACAAAGAAAGAAGUAGGGAUGAAAGAGAACGAUCAACAAGCAAGAAGAAGAAGAGUAAAGAUAAGGAAAAGGACCGGGAAAGAAAAUCAGAGAGUGAUAAAGAUGUAAAAGUUACACGGGAUUAUGAUGAAGAGGAACAGGGGUAUGACAGUGAGAAAGAGAAAAAAGAAGAGAAGAAACCAAUAGAAACAGGUUCCCCUAAAACAAAGGAAUGUUCUGUGGAAAAGGGAACUGGUGAUUCACUAAGAGAAUCCAAAGUGAAUGGGGAUGAUCAUCAUGAAGAAGACAUGGAUAUGAGUGACUGAAUAUUGCCUCUGAGGGAGUCCAACUGUAUACCUGCAUCAGUGUCAUUCCUUUGUGUGAUUUCUUAAUGCUGUAUUUGUUCAUCUCAAACCUAGAUGUAUACAGCUCUGAGUUAUAAAUGGUUAUAAAGCUCCUGUUACUCAUAUUAGUUAUUUACAUCAAAAAGCUUUUAGAAAAUGGUACGAGGUAACCAAUUCUUGUCAUGGUGAAAUCUGAUUGAGUAACCAAGCAGUUUUACUAUUCUGGUGCUGCUUCAUAACAAAAAUGAAAAGCUGCAUGCAUCUACAGCAGGCAUGGAUUGUUUAUGUCGUAUGAUAUCCUUUAUUAAGUAAGUUCACUUAUAGUAUUUCUAUAAUUUGAUUCAUUGCCGUAAUAGAGCCAUGUAGGAAAUGCACUGAUUGCAUGUUAUUGUGGCAAGAAUAUCCUAAAUGUCAUUAAAAUCCUCCAACAUGAUGGAUCUACUUAUGGUCUUGUUUGUUGACAUGACAAAUUAACAUUCUUAUAGUUACAUCUGGAAAUGAGCAUUUGAAAUAGAUAAUCCUUUAAGCCUUGUGGCAAAAUUUUUGUGGCUUUUGUUUAACUUUGAAAGGUUAUUAUGCACUAACCUUUUUUGGUGGCUAAUUAGGGUUUAAAUACAGAAACAAGAUUUCAAAUAAAACUGUCUUUGGCAGUGAGUAAAUAGCAUAUUUUGAAGUAGAGUUGUAUACUUUUUCAUAAGAUGUUUGGGAAUUUUUUUCCUGAAGUAAUAAUUUAUUCCACAUCUACAUCAGUGAAAGCUAUCUACCUAUCCUGAGUCUAUCUUAAAGGAAAAAAAGAAAAAAACCUUAUCUCUUGCCCUUAUUUUGAAUUUUCCACUCUUUCAUUAAUUUGUUUUAAGCUCCGUGUUGGAAAAAAGGGGUAGUGCAUUUUAAAUUGACCUUCAUACGCUUUUAAAAUAAGACAAAUCUACUUGAUAAUGUACCUUUAUUUGAUCUCAAGUUGUAUAAAACCAAUAAAUUUGUGUUACUGCAGUAGUAAUCUUAUGCACACGGUGAUUUCAUGUUAUAUAUGCAAAGUAGGCAACUGUUUUCUUAGUUACAGAAGUUUCAAGCUUCACUUUUGUGCAGUAGAAACAAAAGUAGGCUACAGUCUGUGCCAUGUUGAUGUACAGUUUCUGAAAUUGUUUUACAAGACUUUGAUAAUAAAACCCUUAAACUUAUGUUCAUGUUCCUGU